CCCAGCACCAAACAUACAAUAUUUCCCAAGGGCCUCUUUCCUGCUUGUAUAAACUGUGGAGUACUGGCCUGUCCAUGUAUGGUAAAGUAGAGAGGGAUAAAUAAAGUACAUAAGGGCAAGUUAUGGUAAAGUGAGGUGAGGAUCAGGUAGAGAGGGAUAAAUAAAGUACAUAAGGGCAAGUUAUGGUAAAGUGAGGUGAGGAUCAGGUAGAGAGGGAUAAAUAAAGUACAUAAGGGCAAGUUAUGGUAAAGUGAGGUGAGGAUCAGGUAA